GGCAAGAUGGCCGAGUGGUCUAAGGCGAUUGAUUAGAAAUCAAUUCUCUUCGGAGGCCAGAGUUCGAAUCUCUGUCUUGUCG
rfam:Aspergillus rambellii strain SRRC1468 contig00634, whole genome shotgun sequence.